AUGUGAAAGGCUUCUCCUACUACAGUUUCAGCUUGCUGCAGUAGGACAACAACACAGAAGUACACAAAAAAUUCCAACCAACCAUUCACAGAGGGAAAAUUACCAAGGUUUAUGACGUAAGGGCUCUUGGGUUAAAUCGGUCACUGCUUUCAACACGCAACUAUCACACACGCACAAAGUAUUCAGUGGAAGCGGCUUUCCCUGGAGUCUUGGAGCUGAACGAAAUUUAACCCAGAGAAAUGCAAAGUUCAGAGGAAACUGAAAUCGAAUGUGCCGAUUUAGAACGAGGGAUGCCAGAGUUAAGAACAGCCUGUUUGUGUGAAAAGGAUUUUGAAACCAUAACUCAUGAUGGCUUGAACGUGACUCAGAAGUGUUCUGUAAGCUAAACGGUCAAAUGUAAUUUUAGGUUGCCUUGAA